rnacentral:rRNA from 1 species
AGGGAAUAUUGCGCAAUGGACGGAAGUCUGACGCAGCGACGCCGCGUGAGCGAUGAAGGCCUUCGGGUCGUAAAGCUCUGUCCUUGGGGAAGAAGGUCUUCGGACUUGACGGUACCCAAGAAGAAAGCCCCGGCUAACUACGUGCCAGCAGCCGCGGUAAUACGUAGGGGGCGAGCGUUGUCCGGAAUUACUGGGCGUAAAGGGUGCGUAGGCGGCCCUUUAAGUCAGAUGUGAAAGGCCACGGCUUAACCGUGGGAUUGCAUUUGAAACUGGAGGGCUUGAGUGUCGGAGAGGGUAGUGGAAUUCCCAGUGUAGCGGUGAAAUGCGUAGAUAUUGGGAGGAACACCAGUGGCGAAGGCGACUAUCUGGACGAUAACUGACGCUGAGGCACGAAAGCUAGGGGAGCAAAC